GUUGAUAAGGUUAAGUGAAUAAGGGCGCACGGUGGAUGCCUUGGCACUAGGAGCCGAUGAAGGACGGGACUAACACCGAUAUGCUUUGGGGAGCUGUACGUAAGCUAUGAUCCAGAGAUUUCCGAAUGGGGGAACCCAACAUCUUUAAUAGGAUGUUACGAUUGUGUGAAUACAUAGCACAUUCGAGGUAGACGCAGAGAACUGAAACAUCUAAGUACCUGCAGGAAGAGAAAGAAAAUUCGAUUCCCUGAGUAGCGGCGAGCGAAACGGGAAAAGCCCAAA
rnacentral:rRNA from 1 species